AGCGCGGGUGCGAGUCGGAGGGUGCAAGCCCGUGGGCGAAGUGAAAGCGAGUUUAAAAACGAGCAGUUUGGGGCGGCAUAAGAUCGUUGAUCUUAAGACCGACCCAGAGCAGUUGCGCUGGGACCCGAAAGAUGGUGAACUAUGCCGGAGUAGGGCAAAGCCAGAGGAAACUCUGGUGGAGGCUCGUAGCGGUGCUGACGUGCAAAUCGCUCGUCGAACUUGGGUAUAGGGGCGAAAGACUAAUCGAACCAUCUAGUAGCUGGUUCCCUCCGAAGUUUCUCUCAGGAUAGCGGGCCGACAAGUUGUUUUGUGCGGUAAAGCGAAUGAUUAGCGCAAUCGGGGGCGUUUAGCCUUUGGGCGAUUCUCAAACUUUCAAUGCGCAAGGGUGCCGCUGCUUAAUUGAGCGGUACCGGUAAAAACGUCGGCCCUGUGGGCCACUUUUGGUAAGCAGAACUGGCGAUACGGGAUGAACCGUAAGCAAGGUUAAGGCGCCAAACUGCCCGCUUAUAGACCCCACAAAAGGUGUUGAUUCAUCGAGACAGCAGGACGGUGGCCAUGGAAGUCGGAAUCCGCCAAGGAGUGUGUAACAACUCACCUGCCGAAUGAAUUAGCCCUGAAAAUGGAUGGCGCUGAAGCGGGCGGCCGACACCUUGCCGUCUGAACAAGAAUUUCAGAUGAGUAGGAGGGCGUGGCGGCCGUGUCGAAGCGCGCGUGCAGACGCGUGUGGAACGGCCGCUAGUGCAGAUCUUGGUGGUAGUAGCAAGUAUUCAAGCGAGAUCCUUGAAGGGCGAAGUGGGGAAGGGUUUCACGCGAACAUUGAUUGGGCGUGAGUGAGUCGUUCCUAAGCCGAGUGGCAAUUGCUAAUUAACGGCGAAAGGGAAGCGGGUUGACAUUCCCGCACACGGAUGUGGAGGCGGCGACGCAUUAUUGGGGCGAACACGCUGGCGAUGGCGCUGGGCAGAGUUGUCUUUUCUGUUUGACCGCUUGCGCACGCAGUGUGGAAUCCGCUUGUCGGGAGAAACACGCGUGUACGGGCAGAGCGCUGGGGCUUUUCCAGCGUCCAGCUCGCCAUCGACGGCCCUUGAAACUUUGCCUGCUG
rnacentral:rRNA from 2 species